GACAGAGGUGCCAAGCGUUAGGCGGAAUCACUGGGCUUAAAGCGUGUGUAGGUGGAAGCGUAAGUACCUUGUGAAAUCCCACGGCUUAACCGUGGAACUGCUUGGUAUACUGCGUUUCUUGAGCCAACUAGGGGCUAUCGGAACAAGUGGUGGAGCGGUGAAAUGCGUAGAUAUCACUUGGAACGCCAAUGGUGAAAACAGAUAGCUGGGGUUGUGCUGACACUGAGACACGAAAGCCAGGGGAGCAAACGGGAUUAGAUACCCCGGUAGUCCUGGCUGUAAACGAUGUCGACUAGAUCGCAGCGCCUCUGACGGUGUUGCGGUCGAAGCAAAAGUGCUAAGUCGACCGCCUGGGAAGUACGGUCGCAAGGCUAAA
rnacentral:rRNA from 1 species